rnacentral:rRNA from 1 species
UACGAAGGGGGCUAGCGUUGUUCGGAAUCACUGGGCGUAAAGCGCACGUAGGCGGAUCCUUAAGUCAGGGGUGAAAUCCCGAGGUUCAACCUCGGAACUGCCUUUGAUACUGGGGAUCUCGAGUCCGGGAGAGGUGAGUGGAACUGCGAGUGUAGAGGUGAAAUUCGUAGAUAUUCGCAAGAACACCAGUGGCGAAGGCGGCUCACUGGCCCGGAACUGACGCUGAGACGCGAAAGCGUGGGGAGCAAACAGG